rnacentral:rRNA from 1 species
UACGUAGGGUGCAAGCGUUGUCCGGAAUCAUUGGGCGUAAAGCGCGUGUAGGCGGCUUGGCAAGUCCGCUGUGAAAACUCGAGGCUCAACCUCGAGAUGUCGGUGGAAACUGCUUGGCUAGAGUCCGGAAGAGGAGUGUGGAAUUCCUGGUGUAGCGGUGAAAUGCGCAGAUAUCAGGAAGAACACCUAUGGCGAAGGCAGCACUCUGGGACGGUACUGACGCUGAGACGCGAAAGCGUGGGGAGCGAACAGG